rnacentral:rRNA from 1 species
UACGUAGGGUCCGAGCGUUAAUCGGAAUUACUGGGCGUAAAGGGUGUGUAGGCGGUUGUUUAAGUUUGGUGUGAAAUCUCCCGGCUCAACUGGGAGGGUGCGCCGAAUACUGAAUGACUUCGAGUGCGGGAGAGGAGAGUGGAAUUCCUGGUGUAGCGGUGAAAUGCGUAGAUAUCAGGAGGAACACCGGUGGUGUAGACGGCUCUCUGGACCGUAAACUGACGCUGAGACACGAAAGCGUGGGUAGCAAACAGG